GAUCUGCUGCUGAAACACGGUGAGAAGGAACAGGAGACUUCUGCUGCACUUAGAGCUUGAGUCUCAGCUAAUACCCCCGGGGGAAGGAUUUGAACAUAACUUAAAGAUGUCUUCAAGAAAUGGGAAUUAGUCAAUGGAGGCAGCACGAGCUCAGCACCCCAGCCCAGCAGUGUUCUCCACCAAGAACCUGGGCAGAGCUGAGGUGUUUUCCCAUCUAACCCUGGAGAAUGAUACACUUCAGGUUGGAGACGGGCGCCCUUCUGCUCCAGGGAGAUUUUCCAGCCUGUGAAAGUGCUUAAUGAGCUCUGGAGUCCAGGAAGAAGGUGCUUGAAAUAAGAUCCUUUGGAGCAUCCUCUGCUAUUUAUCACAAGAACAGCUGCAGAGAUGAAACAUGAGAUGUAGAAGGCAAAAUGAAUAAAGAUUGUCAUCUUUUCUGGUUUGUCUCUUCCUGCGGGAUUUCUGAGGUUCCCUUGCAGAGAUACCAAUCUUGUGUGAUUACAGUGAGUAUAAUUAUGUCUGCAUGCUUAGCACCAAUUUCCAAGCUGAAGACUAUCAUUUUAUUGUGUAUUAUUUAUAAAGUUCCUGCUAGGCCUAAAGCUUGCUUCAGGAGAGAUCACUGUUGAAUAUUUGAGCUGAACCUGUCUCAUUCCACUUUACAACCCACUUUAUCAGCACAGUGUCCACAGUAAUGCUGAACACACUUCCCAACAGGGUAUAUUUCAACUGUUCCAUUACUUCAUCAUCAGACUGGUCCUCCUUGUUGGUAAAUCCCUUCUUACACCUUGGACUGAGUGCACCAGCUGACAAGAGGGUCAGGGUUUCCUGCUGAAUGUUGUUUCACCACCAGCAUUUCACUCUGAAAACUUUGGACUGUUCUCAGUUUUCAAGUCAGCAACUGGAUCAUAUUUAUUUAGAGCUGGCUGUGCAAAUGUAUUGAUUUGUAGUCUGCUAUUGUUUUGUGCCUUGUAUUUAUGUGGCUCUAAUGGACUGAAAGUGUUUCAAAACUGAAGGGGAUUAAAAUAUAGAGCUUUUUCUCUGUGUAAGUGUAGGGAAUAUUAUAACUUGAAAUCUGUUCUAAAAUGUGAUUUUACAGCAUUUAUAUACUGUUAUUUUAAAGCUAGAGAUACUGUGCCAUCCAGUAAUUGAGUACAAAGCCAUGAAAAUAGAAAGGAAUGAAGGUACAGAGAGGAAACAAUGAAGCUGGCAACACAAACCCUUGUCAAAUGUGAGGAAUGAGCUUUGAAACAAGCUCUGACUUUGCCUCAGCACCACUUGCUUGGUCGAAUAAUCUCACCCCCCCAGCCAGAUGUCACCAUAUGGCCAGUGACAACUUUCAAUUAAAGGCCUAUGGUGUUUAUCAUCUCCUUUUACAUUUGGAUAAAAAGCAGUCCUGUGACCUGCCCAUUGCACCCAAGAGGGUUGUGCUCCUUCUUUAAAAGAUGUGCAUGCCAAGACUCACUCCCAUCCUUGGUGCUAUAAAUUUCCAAGCUCACUUUUAAUGUUUUGAACCUUUGUUCAGCCCUUGCCAGCUCUGAAAACUGGAUUGAGCCUGCAUCUCCAGCAGUCCCUGGGUACUGAGGGUGCCUUUUGGAGAAGCUUAGGGCUCAACUCUUGAGAGUGCUGAAAAUGUCACGGUGCAGUUGGUCUGAGCCUCACAGCUGCCUUGGCUGCCCACUUCUGCAAGGGCCAUUUUCAGAGCAAGGCCACACAGAUGGGAAUGUUGUGUCAUGCAUCCCAAGUACACAGCAAGGAGCCCACUGCACUCUGACAGCACCAGCCACAUUUAACAAGGAGUCCUGGCACCCUUCACAAAUGAGGGACAGAUUUAAUGAUCCAAUCAGCUUCUCAUCCUUGAGACUGUGUAAUGGUUACCCAACAAAUUUGAUUAUAGGAGUUACUAUGUGUUUUAAGCUAACUUUUGUGCAUGGCUGGGCUUUCCCAGUAAUCCUAUACAGUAUCCAAGGCACCAUUCAGUGGCUUCUUGCAAAUUCCUGCAAAGCAAUUACUGUCUUUUCUACGUAUUCGGAAAUUGUCAGUUUCAGGUGCAAUUAAAGUAAAAUUGCUUUCAGUA